rnacentral:lncRNA from 1 species
UCGGGUUGGUUCUGAUAACGUCGCGUUUGUGAGGAUUCGUUCAACUUCGUCCGCUUGUCUACUUCAUCGACUCGUUCUUCUUCCUUGCGGGAUCUCAGGCAAGAUGACCAUACCCUCAAAAUCACUUCUAUCUUUGCUUGCUAGUUGUUCGCUCUAUUGAUAUGCCGCGAUACCUACCACUUGCUAUAUCAUGCCUCCCAUAUUGCCAUGUCGAGCCUCUAACCCAUCUUCCUAGCAAACCGUUGUUUGGCUGUGUUACCGCUUUUGCUCAGCCCCUCUUAUAGCGUUGCUAGUUGCAGGUGAAGUUGAAGUUUGUUCCAUGUUGGAACAUGGAUACGUUGGGAUACCACAAUAUCUAUUAUGUUAAAUUAAUGCAUCUAUAUACUUGGUAAAGGGUGGAAGGCUCGACCUUGUGCCUAGUGUUUUUUUCCACUCUUGCCGCUCUAGUUUCCGUCAUACCAGUGUUAUGUUCCUUGAUUUUGCGUUCCUUACGUGGUUGAGUGUUAUGGGAACCCCUUGACACUUCGCUUUGAAUAAAACUCCUCCAGCAAGGCCCAACCUUGGUUUUACAUUUUCCUAACAACCUAUAACCUUCCCUUGGGUUUUCGCGAGCCCGAGGGUCAUCUUUAUUUUAACCCCCCGGGCCAGUGCUUCUCUAAGUGUUGGUCCGAGCUGGGCGAUGUCCGGCGCCCCCUGGGAAACCAGGGUCUAUGCCAACCCAACGUCUUGCCCAUCCGGUGUGCCCUAAGAACGAGAUAUGUGUAGCUCCUAUCGAGAUUUGUUGGCACAUUCGGGUGGCUUUGCUGGUCUUGUUUUACCAUUGUCGAAAUGUCUUGUAACCAGGAUUCCGAGACUGACUGGGUCUUCUCGGGAGAAGGAAUAUCCUUCAUUGACCGUGAGAGCUUGUGAUGGGCUAAGUUGGGACACCCCUGCAGGGUUUGAACUUAUGAAAGCCGUGCCCGCGGUUAUGGGCAGAUGAGAAUUUGUUAAUAUCCGGUUGUAGAGAACUUGACACUUAACUUAAUUAAAAUGAAUCAACCGCGUGUGUAGCCAUGAUGGUCUCUUUCCGGCAGAGUCCGGGAAUUGAACACGGUUCUUGUGUUAUGUUUGAACGUAAGUAGAUUCAGGAUCACUUCUUGAUCACUUCUAGCUUCUCGACCGUUGCGCUGCUUCUCUUCUCGCUCUUAUUUGCGUAUGUUAGCCACCAUAUAUGCUUAGUGCUUGCUGCAGCUCCACCUCACUACCCUUUCCUACCCAUAAGCUUAAAUAGUCUUGAUCUCGCGGGUGUGAGAUUGUUGAGUCCUCGUGACUCACAGAUACUUCCAAACAGUUACAGGUGCCAAUGAUACCAGUGCAGGUGACGCAACCCAGCUCAAGUGGGAGCUUGAUUAAGAUCUUGACCGUUGUCUUGUUUCGUUUCCUGUUGAUCAGUAGUGGAGCCCAGUCAGGACGAUUGGGGAUCUAGCAUUUGGGGUGUCUUCUUUUAUUUUGGUUCUGUAGUCGGACCUUGAUUGUAUUCUGGAUGAUGUAUGUUUAACUUGUAUUUGUGUGAAGUGGCGAUUGUAAGCCAAUUCUUUAUCCCUUUCUUAUUCAGUACAUGGGAUGUGUGAAGAUUACCCCUGUUGCGACAUGCCUACCAUGCGACUAUGCCUCUAAGUCGUGCCUUGACACGUGGG